rnacentral:rRNA from 1 species
GACGAACGCUGGCGGCGUGCUUAACACAUGCAAGUCGAACGGUGAAGCGCCUUCCUUUUUGGUGGGUGUGGAUGAGUGGCGAACGGGUGAGUAACACGUGAGUAACCUGCCCCCUUCUUCUGGAUAACCGCAUGAAAGUGUGGCUAAUACGGGAUAUUCUGGGUCUGUCGCAUGAUGGGUCUGGGAAAGAUAUUGUUUCGGUGGGGGAUUGGCUCGCGGCCUAUCAGCUUGUUGGUGGGGUGAUGGCCUACCAAGGCGGUGACGGGUAGCCGGCCUGAGAGGGUGGACGGUCACACUGGGACUGAGACACGGCCCAGACUCCUACGGGAGGCAGCAGUGGGGAAUAUUGCACAAUGGGCGCAAGCCUGAUGCAGCGACGCCGCGUGAGGGAUGGAGGCCUUCGGGUUGUGAACCUCUUUCGCCAGUGAAGCAGGCCUGCCUCGUUUGUGGGUGGGUUGACGGUAGCUGGAUAAGAAGCGCCGGCUAACUACGUG